UCCAGACUCCUACGGGAGGCAGCAGUGGGGAAUAUUGCACAAUGGGCGCAAGCCUGAUGCAGCCAUGCCGCGUGUGUGAAGAAGGCCUUCGGGUUGUAAAGCACUUUCAGCGGGGAGGAAGGCGUUAAGGUUAAUAACCUUGGCGAUUGACGUUACCCGCAGAAGAAGCACCGGCUAACUCCGUGCCAGCAGCCGCGGUAAUACGGAGGGUGCAAGCGUUAAUCGGAAUUACUGGGCGUAAAGCGCACGC
rnacentral:rRNA from 1 species